CCUACGGGAGGCAGCAGUGGGGAAUUUUGGACAAUGGGGGAAACCCUGAUCCAGCAAUGCCGCGUGAGUGAAGAAGGCCUUCGGGUUGUAAAGCUCUUUUGUCAGGGAAGAAACACCGGCUCUAACACAGUCCGGGAAUGACGGUACCUGAAGAAUAAGCACCGGCUAACUACGUGCCAGCAGCCGCGGUAAUACGUAGGGUGCGAGCGUUAAUCGGAAUUACUGGGCGUAAAGCGUGCGCAGGCGGUUAUACAAGACAGGCGUGAAAUCCCCGGGCUUAACCUGGGAAUGGCGCCUGUGACUGUAUAGCUAGAGUGUGUCAGAGGGGGGUAGAAUUCCACGUGUAGCAGUGAAAUGCGUAGAUAUGUGGAGGAAUACCAAUGGCGAAGGCAGCCCCCUGGGAUAACACUGACGCUCAUGCACGAAAGCGUGGGGAGCAAACAGGAUUAGAUACCCUGGUAGUCCACGCCCUAAACGAUGCUGACUAGUUGUUCGGGAUUUACAUCCUGAGUAACGUAGCUAACGCGUGAAGUCAGCCGCCUGGGGAGUACGGUCGCAAGAUUAAAACUCAAAUGAAUUGACGG
rnacentral:rRNA from 1 species